rnacentral:lncRNA from 1 species
UCCUUAGUGCAGAGUCUGCUUGAGAUUCUCUCUCUCCCUCUCCCUGCCCCUCCUGCUUGUGCUCUCUCCCUUUUUGUCUAAAAUAAAUAAAUCUUUUUUUUUUUUUUUUUUUAAUGAAUGAACUCAUGGAACCCAGAGGUAAUCCACAAGAGCUCAAGGAGUCACAUAAUACAUACAGAAAGUAUGGAGAGUAACAUCACUUUGGCAAGAGAGAGUAAGUAUGUGGAGGAAUCCCACGGGUUGAACUUAGAACACAGUGUUCAUCAGAAGCAAAGUUCAAGAAUCACUGCCUGACAAGAAUUCUUCUUAAACUAAUGUGUGUCAAGCAACUUUAGACCUCAAAGGCCAUCCAAAUAAGAACCAGCAAAGGCAAC